GUGACUAAGAGCAUGUGGUGGAUGCCUUGGCGAUGAUAGGCGACGAAGGACGUGAUAGCCUGCGAUAAGCUUCGGGGAGCUGGCAAAUUAGCUUUUGAUCCGGAGAUUUCCGAAUGGGGAAACCCACCGUAAGGUAUCCUGGGCAGUGAAUACAUAGCUGCAGGAGGCGAACCGGGCGAACUGAAACAUCUCAGUAGCUCGAGGAAAAGACAUCAACCGAGAUUCCGAAAGUAGUGGCGAGCGAAAUCGGAGCAGCCUUCUAGUGAUAGCACGACGGUUAGCAAAACGGCCUGGAAAGGCCGGCCAUAGCGGGUGAUAGCCCUGUAUGCGAAAACCGACGUGUGGUACUAGGCUAGAGACAAGUAGGGCGGGACACGUGUAAUCCUGUCUGAACAUGGGGGGACCAUCCUCCAAGGCUAAAUACUCAUCACUCGACCGAUAGUGAACAAGUACCGU
rnacentral:rRNA from 1 species